rnacentral:tRNA from 1 species
UGGGGUAUCGCCAAGCGGUAAGGCAGUGGAUUCUGAUUCCACCAUCCCGAGGUUCGGAAUCCUCGUACCCCAGCCA